rnacentral:lncRNA from 1 species
GUAAACGGCAUUUUCAAUGGGGCAUGGUAAAGAUUAGUGGUGCUGCCGUAUAAUUUUUUUUAAAAAAAAUCAUAAGAUAGAGUUUAAUAUCCACAACGAUAUCUUCUUCAAUAUCUCCAUCAUUGCCAUUGCCAUAUGGGUGAUUCUAUCUUUGCUAUGCUCCUUUCAUAUAUCCAUGAUCUUCCAUCUCUGCUAUCCAUCGUGUGCUACUUGUCGGUGACCUCGACAUCCGCAAGGGCUGAAAAAAUAUUUGAAAAAAAAAAAGAAUGGUGCUGCUGCAUGAAUCGACCAUAUGUACUGAGAAUUAUAUGAACUCGAG